AUUGAACGCUGGCGGCAGGCCUAACACAUGCAAGUCGAGCGGAUGAGUGGAGCUUGCUCCAUGAUUCAGCGGCGGACGGGUGAGUAAUGCCUAGGAAUCUGCCUGGUAGUGGGGGACAACGUUUCGAAAGGAACGCUAAUACCGCAUACGUCCUACGGGAGAAAGCAGGGGACCUUCGGGCCUUGCGCUAUCAGAUGAGCCUAGGUCGGAUUAGCUAGUUGGUGAGGUAAUGGCUCACCAAGGCGACGAUCCGUAACUGGUCUGAGAGGAUGAUCAGUCACACUGGAACUGAGACACGGUCCAGACUCCUACGGGAGGCAGCAGUGGGGAAUAUUGGACAAUGGGCGAAAGCCUGAUCCAGCCAUGCCGCGUGUGUGAAGAAGGUCUUCGGAUUGUAAAGCACUUUAAGUUGGGAGGAAGGGCAUUAACCUAAUACGUUAGUGUUUUGACGUUACCGACAGAAUAAGCACCGGCUAACUUCGUGCCAGCAGCCGCGGUAAUACGAAGGGUGCAAGCGUUAAUCGGAAUUACUGGGCGUAAAGCGCGCGUAGGUGGUUUGUUAAGUUGGAUGUGAAAGCCCCGGGCUCAACCUGGGAACUGCAUCCAAAACUGGCAAGCUAGAGUAUGGCAGAGGGUGGUGGAAUUUCCUGUGUAGCGGUGAAAUGCGUAGAUAUAGGAAGGAACACCAGUGGCGAAGGCGACCACCUGGGCUAAUACUGACACUGAGGUGCGAAAGCGUGGGGAGCAAACAGG
rnacentral:rRNA from 1 species